AGCACUGCUUGCACCUUGUCUGUGCCCUAACCAGGCUCAUGAAUGUUCUUUGGAACUAUUCUGUUUCUGUUCUUAUCUUUUAGAGACCAGAAAUGAGGUGUGCCACAUAAAGUAUGACCCAGUAAUGAAUGAGCUGCCAGACAAAUUGACACAAAAGAAUUGACCUGGGAGCCCAGGACCCUGUGGGAGGUAACUGCUGCACAGUUGGCAGAGAGCUCCUGAUAUCCAGUGCAGACACGAUUCAUCUUCAGUGAGCACGUCUGAAACUGCAGCUUUAUCUGACCCAAGUAUGAUACCCAAAGGAGACCAGGACCUGUGAUGGUGGCGAGGGUCAGACACAGCCCAGGGAUCUCUCACCAGGGCUGCAGUGCCAGCUCUGGAUCACAAAGGUGUGUGGGCACACAAAGGCACGGCAGGGAACAAGGGUCAAUGGCAUGGCCUGAGGAAGCUCCUGGAUGAAGAACCUUAUGCGAGAUCCAUAAGGUUCUUUCUUGAAUAGCUCUUCCUUCAGAGAAGUGUA